AAACAGAGUCUGCAUAAGCAAACGUAUCUUUGAUGGAGCGAGGAGAAACGAAUCGAGACAGAAUCAUUCCGCUACCAGCUUUAUCGUUAGUACCACUGGCACGAGCACCACCAAAAGGUUGUUCACCAACAACAGCACCAGUACACUUAUCAUUGAUAUAGAAGUUACCAGCGGCAUUACGGAGACGGUCAGUCAACUUUCUGACAACAACACGGUCCUGAGCGAAGAUGGAUCCGGUUAAACCAUAAGGAGUGGUAGUAUCGAUGAGAUCGCAAACAGCGUCUAAGUUGUCAUCCUCAUAUACAUAAACAGACAGUACGGGGCCGAACAAUUCGUUAACGAAUAUAUCAUGUUUAGGGUUUUUAGAAAGUAAAACGGUAGGUUCAACAAAGAAACCUUCGGAAUCAUCAGCUUUACCGCCAGCCAAAACUUCAAUUUCAGAAUCGGAAGCAGCACUCUCAAGAACCUUCUUCAGUUUGUUAAAGCUUGCUUGAUGGAUAACAGGGCCCACAAAAUUAGCAAAAUCAGUUAAAGGAGCACCGACCUUAAGAGACUUGACCUGUUUGGUAAGCUCAUCACGGAAACCAUUUUCCCAAGCAUACUUAGAAACGUAAAGACGAGAAAGGGCAGAGCACUUUUGGCCUUGAUAUUCGAAAGCAGCACGAACAGCAUUAACAACGGCACUCUUAAUUUCAGCGGAAGAAUGUACAAGAUGAAAGUUCUUACCACCAGUCUCACCGACGAUUUUGGGGUAAGUGCGGUAUUUUCCGUUGGCAACAUUCUCGCCAAUUGUUCCCCAAAGGCUACGAAAGACGGCUGUGCUACCAGUAAAAUGAAGACCAGCAAACUCAGGGUGGUUGAAACAAACCUUGGAGACUUCAACAGCGUCACCAGGGAUAAAUUGAAGUGCUCCAGCGGGAAGACCAGCUUCACGGAAGAUUUGGUAAACAAUGUAGCUAGAAAGGACUGCAUGGUCAGAAGGCUUCAUUAAAACGACGUUGC